AGGAUGGUAGAGUUCUGAUAGGGGAAUCUCAAAUCAAACAGAGGUGGCAGGCGUACUUUCGGGACCUUCUUAAUGAGGAGGGGGAUCGAAGCAUAGAGCUAGGAGAGUUAGGGCAUUCAGAGCAACAUAGAGACCUUGGGUACUGCAGGCGCAUUAGGGUGGAGGAGGUCUUAGGGGCGUUGCGUAGGAUGAGUAGGGA
rnacentral:lncRNA from 1 species